GUUGCUAUGCUGGUUGUGAUAGUGUAGUUGCUAUGCUGGUUGUGAUAGUGUAGUUGCUAUGCUGGUUGUGAUAGUGUAGUUGCUAUGCUGGUUGUGGUAGUGUAGUUGUUAUGCUGGUUGUGAUAGUGUAGUUGCUAUGCUGGUUGUGAUAGUGUAGUUGCUAUGCUGGUUGUGAUAGUGUAGUUGCUAUGCUGGUUGUGGUAGUGUAGUUGCUAUGCUGGUUGUGGUAGUGUAGUGUGUACUUACAGGAAUCGAGCGGCUGAGGUAUCGCCCGGAGGCUGCCUUCAGCCCGCUGUAGGGAGCCUGCGGCCCCGGAUCCUUCUUCCCACUGGGCCUCCCAGGGGCGCCAAAGUACUGACCGGGGUCCUUGGGCGGCACUCGGGGGCCCCGGGGGAGGAGGGUGGCCGCGGGGGAGCGAGGAGAGGACGGGGGGUGAAGAGGGCUGUAGGUCUGCCUGGCCUCCUCCACCUCACCGCCGUAGAGGUCGCCCAGGGAGUUGCCUAGCCUGGAGUUAGCCGCAGUGCUGAGGAUCAAUGAAACUGUCAGAACUACGAAUAGCAGAUAGUGCAGAGGUUCUGCACCACGACCUCUACGCUAUGCUACUGCUAUGCUACCAAAGGAGCUGCUCUAAAGGUUCACUCAGGGAUUGAGUCCUCUACUUAGACUAGGACCUGGGGGUGAGUUCCUAAGACUCCUUCACCUCAGGUUAGGGUUAGGGUUAACUCCUUCACCUCAGGUUAGGGUUAACUCCUUCACCUCAGGUUAGGGUUAACUCCUUCACCUCAGGUUAGGGUUAACUCCUUCACCUCAGGUUAGGGUUAGGGUUAAC
ensembl:lncRNA